UUUAGUCAGUUCAGCUGUUAUGAGCUGUCAUUCAAUGAUGAUGUGAUGUGGCGAGUCGAAGGCCAACGCCAUGCGGUCAUGAGGUCAGAAUCACCCGCCCCAGUCUAAAAAGUUCACGUUAAAGUCCAACGUUUACCCUGGUGUUCCUCACACAGUCAGGCUGGAGUCAGUCCACAGCAGGAAAAGAGAUUUGGGCUCUUUAGCUCCAUAAAACAGUUUCUAAUGUUUGUGUAGUGACAGCAGAUGAUGAUGGAGAGGAUUUUUCUUCAGACAUUUCAGGCACUGAAUCGUCUGUUUUUCAUACACCUGUGUGUUUAUUUGAAUAAAAAGGGGUGGCCUUUAUUGACAGCCGUGCUCCUGUGAUGUUCAGGACUCCUGCUAAUGAUGAUUAAAUGUCCAACUGGUAAUCUUUAGAUAAUAGCUGAUCAGCCGUCUGCUCCCUGACGCCUCCCACAGGUUCUCUGUUUAUGGAGAUAAGCUGCAGACCAAAAAUCACCUCCUGAAUAUUUAAUGAUUCGGGAGGUUUCAAAGGAUAUCCCUCCAUUAUGUUUAUUAUGUUUCUGCACACAUGGGCCAUCGUAGCUCGAGCCUGCAGAGCUGUCAGGAGUUUAUAGAAUAUAAAAUACGUUAAUAAAUAAAAAAUCUGCUCUCAGGUUUCGACUGAACCUAUUCCUGUGAGGUGAGGUUAUUAUUUAUUAUCUCUGUUUUCUGAUGCUUACCUCGGUCUAAGCAGAGACUCCCCAGCUAUGGGACGCAUCCUAGUCAGGUGCUGUGCGUCUGUGCUACGAGCGCCUCCCAAAUCUGCCAGCCUGUCUCUGGUCUCUAAGGGAGCUCCAAGGGUCAGAUCACCUCCAUCCUUACACCUGCGAUCCUGUCAGGAUCACACCCGACCUCUAUGGCGCUUCCAUGGGACACUGUGUGUUUCCAGGUGGAUUAAAUGAUAGUAGUAGUUGCAUAUUUGUGAAAAAAAAAAAAAACACGACAAUGUUCAGUUUAAAUACAGGUUAUUUAAAGUCUUUGGUGAACACAGCUGCUGUUUGGACGCUUCGGUUGUUUUUGUAACUCACUUUCAUUGAAGUGACUCUUCAUGAGUUUAGAUGAGGAAUAAACAGUUUCCCGAGUCUCGCGUGCAGCUGAGUGUUUUAUUCAGUGGUUUCAUUCUGACUGGUCUGUGUGCCGUCAGCAGGGAGGUCGAUGCUCCUGCAGCAUCACCAGAGGAGGCUGAGAUGUUUCUCUACUAGCUUACCUGUAAAGCUUCAGCCUGAAGCUUGGCUCACUGGCUGUUGGUGUUUCUGAGCUGUUGCAGCAUCUCAUGGUCACUGAACCGGUGAUGAAAUCAUCAAACCUGUGUGCUCGUGUCUCCAGCACGGCCGCAGCAUGUUUCUAAAUGAUGAGCUAAAGCAUGGCAACAGAGUUGUGGUUUGACGCCAGAAAAAGCUCCGAUGCAGAUAAAUUCAGAUCUGUGACAUUCACACUGCUGCUCGCAGGCCUGCAGCUGGACUCAAGCUCCCAGUACCAACCCUCUAAGUCAGAUUUACCUUCACACUUACCUACAGCAUUUACAAAUUUGGGCUUUAUAUCUUUAUUAUAAAACUAAAAAACAAAUGCAUCCUUCUGUUCUGCAGUUUUUAGAUGUCCUGAAUAUAAUGGAGAAGAAUAUUGUUGAAGGAGCUUGCAGGGUUACGAGCAGGAAGUUAAAGAUGUGCUUUCCUCUGGUUAUCAUCAUUUUAGGACUAAAGUUAUUAGAAACUCUUUGAGCAGACGGUCGAAUAAAAAGAGACCAAUUGUGUUAAGAGUUAUUGACUGAAUAUGAUAAUUAUGCAGACAAAUAGACAGAAUUUAAAAGGAAUCAAAGGUUUGCUACUUCUUUCACGUUUGUUUGUGUUUCUGAGUCGUUUGUGACAGUAAAUGUGAGUCUCUGGGUUUAUUUAAUUAAGAUUAGACGUCAGAGUCAGCACAGGUGAAGUUUUCACUGUUUAUGGACCAAAACACUGUUUAUGGAUUGAAAACACAAAGUUAGACCAGUGAGGACAUGUUAGCUGCCACUGUAAAGAAACUGCAUCCUUAUUUCCACAUGGAUCAGCGUUAAAGCUGAUUGAUUUAUUGAUCGAGUGAGAGAAAGUUCCUCUCCAGUCCUUGUGAUGGUGUGAAGGUGGAGAUGAAGGGGAGGUCUGCAUACAGCCCAGAGGCAGGAAGCCAGUACAUUUACACCGUGAUGCUCGGGUUAAUGGUUGCUUUAUGAGCCAGAUUUUAAAAUGUUUCCGAUAUGAGUGGUUUGAGGACUUUGAGUCGUAUAUCAGGGUGAAGUUGGUGUUAGCCAGGUAAAAAUAAGGCUCCUCGAUCACUUUAACUUUAAAGAUUUUCUUUUUGUUUGAUUGGUUUCUUAUCUGUAAUUGUUCUGCUGGAAAUCAGGAAAUUCAGAUUACUUCCUCGAAGUCUUUCCUGUCCUGCUGAAAGCAGUUUUAGUUGAGCUGGUGAGAACUUCAUUUCAUGUAACUGGUCUGAUGGUUGGAGGCUGCCGGCUCGAGUCACAUCACAUUUAUGGUGAUCCUUUAUUUAUCAGGUAAAAUUCUCAUUAAAAGUCUGUUUCAAAGGAGACGUAUACAACAACAGUAUCAGGACAAAGACGCACACAGAGCUGAUAUUCAGUCACAAACAUGUGAUCAAACAGAAUAACAGGCCAUCAAAAGCCGUCACUCUCAGUGGGAUCUGAAGGUCGUGAGUUAAUCUGUGACGCUGCUGUCGCUCAGUUUGAUGGUUGUGAAAACUGAAAUCUGAGAGUUUAACGCCAGCCCAGAAGUGUUGCUCAGUGGCAGCACGGUGAGGAAACUUUGUGAGGAAGUUGUAAAACCAGCUCCUGUGUUAUGGGAACCAGUUCAAAUGGCAGAAGUUCAGGUUAGUCCUGAAUAAUGAAAGUAAAGCAUGCAGCUCUCUAUGAACCUCUGUGGUCAUUGUCUAGCCCAGAUUUCUUUGUCAUUUUCACUUAAUUACAGAAGCUUUUAUUUUGUAAAAUAGACUGAAAACAGUUCAUUUCAUAUUAAAUCAACCAAAUCAAAGGAAACUUCAGAAUCAGCUGAUUUCAUUUUUAAUUUAAUUUAAUGAAGCCAUGAAAAAUUAACCUUAAUACUGUGAAUGAUUUCAGAGUUACAGGAAGUUUGGGAGCGUUUCUUAGAUCUGGUUGAUUUUCAUAUCUAAAACGGACUCAGCAGUCAAGACUCACUAUCGUCCUCCCUCACUCUAAUGGGACCAAAAUAAACUUCACUUUUAUUCACUCAUAAAACUAACCUACAAACUCAUCAGAAAGCGUUUGAUGAGCUCAGAGGUCAGGUGGCUUGCAUCCAAUCAGACCUCAGAAGAGUCACCCCCUGCUGGUCGUUAGAGAGAGUGGAUGUCACCUGUGAGAUUAAAGCACCCAGAGUAUGUAUCUGCAAAAUAAAAGCAGCAGUUAAAAUCCAGAAAACAUCCGUCUGCAGGCCAGACGCACGGCACAAAUUUAAAAAUAGAAACAGUUUGAUUUAAAAUUAGAAACUGGAAGCAUCUGUCGGCUGCCAGCACCGGAAACGUGCUCGUCAUCUCCGAGCAUGAAGUAAGGAGAGCCUUCAAGAGAGUGAACACCAGGAAAGCAGCAGGACCAGACGGCAUCCCAGGUCGUAUUCUAAGAGACUGCGCAUACCAGCUAGCUCCUGUGUUCACUGAGAUAUUCAACAUCUCUUUAUCUCAGUCGGUGAUCCCCACAUGCUUCAAAGAGUCCAUCAUUGUUCCUGUCCCGAAGAAACCCCACCCUGCUUCUCUCAAUGACUAUCGCCCUGUAGCCCUCACCUCAGUAGUGAUGAAGUGCUUUGAACGCCUGCUCAGAGACUUCAUCAUUUCUUCACUACCAGACACACUGGACCCACUACAGUUCGCUUACCGUCCAAAUCGUUCCACAGACGAUGCCAUCUCUCAUCUCCUCCACACAUCACUCACUCACUUGGACACUAGAAGGGGGAAUUAUGUUAAAAUGCUCUUCAUAGACUACAGCUCUGCAUUUAACACCAUAAUUCCCUCCACACUCACCACCAAGCUGGAGCAUCUGGGACUCAGCUCAUCUAUGUGUCAGUGGAUCUCCAACUUCCUAACUGGCAGACCACAGGCAGUAAGGAUGGGCGGACAUGUCUCAGCCUCCACCACUCUCAGCACUGGAGCCCCCCAGGGGUGUGUUCUGAGCCCCCUGCUGUACUCUUUGUACACAUAUGACUGUGUGGCCACUACCAGCUCCACCACCAUCAUCAAGUUUGCUGACGACACCGUCGUGGUGGGCCUGAUCUCUGAUAACAACGAGACGGCCUACCUGAAGGAGAUUAGGAAUCUGGAGAACUGGUGCCAGAGGAACAACCUCCUCUAAACGUCAGUAAGACAAAGGAGCUGAUAGUGGACUUCAGCACUAAGCAGGUGAGGAACUACCAGACCCCCGUCAUCAACGAGUGCCCAGUGGAGAGAGUGGACAGCUUCAAAUACCUCGGAGUUCACAUCACGCAGGACCUGUCAUGGUCCUGUCACAUCAACACCGUGGUGAAAAAGGCCCGACAGCGUCUCUACCACCUCAGACGCUUGAGAGACUUCCAACUGCCCUCCAAGGUGCUCAGGAACUUUUACUCGUGCACCAUAGAGAGCAUCCUGGCGGGAAACAUCUUAACCUGGUUCGGGAACAGCACCAUGCAGGACAGACGAGCUCUACAGAGGGUUGUGCGGUCAGCUGAGCGCACCAUCCGCUCCGAGCUCCCUGACCUGCACUCAAUCUACAGCAGGCGGUGCUGGACCAAGGCCAGGAAGAUCGUGAAGGACCUCAGCCAUCCCAACAACAGACUGUUCUCUCUGUUGAGGUCAGGAAAGCGAUUCCGCUCCCUGAAGACCAACACAGAGAGACUGAGGAGGAGCUUCUUCCCGCAGGCGAUACGGUCUCUUAAUCACACCACCACACAGUACUGACCCACACAUACAGUUCUUACACACACACUGGACUUUCUGGACUUUGGUUUUGCACAACACUGGUCACUAUAUUCUUCAUUUCCGGUUAAUACUUGUACAGCUGCUGUUAUUGUGUAUAUAUUUAUUUAUAUUUAGAUUUCUUCAUACAUUCUUAUAUAGUUCUAUACUGUGUAUUGUGUAUUUUGUUGUACAGUUAUUUUAUUUUCAACUUUAAUUUAUAUAUUUAUCUUUAUCUUAUUCUUCCCAGUUAAAUUUACCCUUCAUUCUAAUUUGUGUUGUACAGUUAUUUUAUUUUUAACCUUAAUUUAUAUUUUAUUCCUUCCUAGUUAAAUUUACCCUUUUUAAUUUUUCAUAUUUAUUUCCUAUCUUAUUCAUAGCCUUUCCUUUUUUUGUUCUCUUUAGGUCACGAGCAGUUGUCCAAGUAUUUCACUACAUAUCGUACUGUGUAUGACUGUGUACGUGACAAAUAAAAAUUUGAAUUUGAAUUGAAUUUGCUGCACCGGG
ensembl:lncRNA